rnacentral:lncRNA from 1 species
CCAUUACUGUACCUACCAUUUAUUUUUAUAUCCAAAUAGGAAACAAGCAGGCAUCUUACCCAACCUCUGUUGGGUGAGGCUGCAAAGUGAUGUGCUGCUUUUAGGCACUGAUAGAUGGGAAGACCACCAAGAAAGGCUACGUCAUCAGCCCCAGUCGUCCUCUUUCUUCAUGGCCACGUUUUCCAUGCACAGGCCCAGGGACCAGAUCUGUAUCUACUCUUCGGAGACAUGGAGAAGUUCACAACCCAAUAUUUAGUGGCCAAUGUAAAAGAUGUACUUAAUUAUACAUUGUCUGGUCUGAACAGAUGACAUAUUCAGGCAUUCUCAUACUGUUUUCCUUCACUGGGGAUUGGGAACUGACUGCCACCAGUUCCUGCAACAGCACUGUGAGUACUGGCCUCACUGCAGAGCUGGGUACUCGAUGAACAGCCGGAGCACAGCAGGCUUUUCCUGUGAUAUCUCAGUGCAACUGAUAGCACAGUCAUAGAUGGCAUUUCAUAUGUGCCCUCUGAGGGCUCAUUCUGUUGAUUGCCAAUGGCAAUUUUGUGCCUGAACCCCUUUGAGGCUUCUCAAAAGCCUCCCCUGGCCCAGAAUAGAAAUGCCUUUCCCAGAGCUGUGUGAGCACUGGCAUCUCUUGCCUUUUAUCUCCCAUUCAGCCUGCGGAGUGAAUAUCCCGAUCAUCCGCUCCUGGUGGGCAGCCCAGAGGUUUGGGGCUCUGCUUUGCUUCCUGCCUGAGAGCCCUGAUGGGGGAGCGCACACCAGGAUGGGAUGCAGCCUUUUUCCACGAGUGACUCACGUCAUGGUCCCAAGGGGAGGUGGGGAAGGCGAGGCUGCUCGAACACCUCUGUACCUCACAUAUUGGAUUGGCUGCAAGAAUGGGGUCAGCUCAGCCUCCCGGUAG